rnacentral:rRNA from 1 species
UGGGGAAUCUUCCGCAAUGGACGAAAGUCUGACGGAGCAACGCCGCGUGAGUGAAGACGGCCUUCGGGCUGUAAAGCUCUGUGAUCCGGGACGAAAGAGCCUGAGGUAAAUAGCCUAAGGAAGUGACGGUACCGGAAAAGCAAGCCACGGCUAACUACGUGCCAGCAGCCGCGGUAAUACGUAGGUGGCAAGCGUUGUCCGGAAUUAUUGGGCGUAAAGCGCGCGCAGGCGGCUUACUAAGUCCAUCUUAAAAGUGCGGGGCUUAACCCCGUGAUGGGAUGGAAACUGGAAAGCUGGAGUAUCGGAGAGGAAAGUGGAAUUCCUAGUGUAGCGGUGAAAUGCGUAGAGAUUAGGAAGAACACCGGUGGCGAAGGCGACUUUCUGGACGAAAACUGACGCUGAGGCGCGAAAGCGUGGGGAGCAAACAGG